GUAGGUGAACCUGCGGAAGGAUCAUUACAAAUCCAACGUCUCUUUACCGAGACCUCGUUGAACUGUUCCGCUUGGAUAGGAGCGCUUGAUGUCUUCACCGUCAUCAUUCGUCUAUCCUUGCACUCUCCUUUAACUAGUGUGACUGUUGCUCAUUUGUAUGUCUCUUGAACAAAAAACAAGAAACAACUUAUAACAAUGGAUCUCUAGGCUCUU
rnacentral:misc_RNA from 1 species